UAAACUACGAUUAGAUACCCUAUUAUUUUAAAUGUGAAUGAAUCAGGCUGGAGUAGUAAUAGAUAUGUUCUUGAAACUCAAAGAAUUUGGCGGUGCUUUAGUCCUUUCAGAGGAACCUGCCCCAUAAUCGAUAGUCCACGUUAGAUCUUACUUAAUUUUGUAGUCAACUUGUAUACCGCCGUCGUCAGAAUGUCCUUUUAGGGAAAUAAUUUUCUUAAAUUUUUAAUAAAAUUGAUGUCAGGUCAAGGUGCAGUGUAUGGUUAAGAGGAGGUGGGUUACAAUAAGUGAAUUUAUGAUGGAAAGUGAUUUGAAAAAUAAUUGUUUGAAGGUGGAUUUGAUUGUAAUUUUGAUCAUUAAGUUAGGUUGAUUUUGGCUCUAAAGCAUGUACACAUCGCCCGUCGCUCUUA
rnacentral:rRNA from 1 species